rnacentral:tRNA from 1 species
UCCCACGUGAUCUAGUGGCAAAGAUAUCUGGCUUUCACCCAGAAGGCCCAGGUUCGAUUCCCGGCAUGGGAA